UCCGGCGUAGCUCAGUUGGCAGAGCAGAUGACUGUUAAUCAUCGGGUCGCAGUUUCGAGCCCUGCCGCCGGAGCCA
rnacentral:tRNA from 1 species